AAAAUCUCAGCGGUUUCUGUCAAUGAUUGCACGAUGCAAUCUGUCGUUUCUCCCUUACAUUCCAGCGUUUGUUCUCCAUUCAACACAUGAAGCAUCGGAGAAGAGGCAACGUGUUCCAUCGGCAUACAACUGUUUCAUAAAAGAGGAGAUUCAGAGGAUAAGAUUAUUAAAUUCGAUGAUGGAUUUCAUGCCUAUUGUCCACUCGCUCUGUAUUAAUUUUGUGGGAUUGAUAAUACUCCAUAUAUAUGUUCACUAAAACAAAAUUUGGGUUUGAUGUAUCCCUGUUGGUAAAUUAAUGUAAUAUGUUCUCCCUUUUUAAUUUGAUUUUAAUCA